GCUAGGGAAGCACUGGGUAUCUUGAGAGCAGGCACUAAUGGAUAGUCUCUUUUGGGUGUACCACUGGGUGACUCCAAUGUUUUCUUAUCUUUGUGUCACUCUGAUUAAGAUCUGAAUGUCUACAAGAAGGACUCUCAUUGGCUUAUAUAUCACAUAGACUCUCCUCAACCAAGGAACAACAAACACUGGAAAAGAUCCUCCCACAAGAUUGCAUGCACUGGGGAAGGAUCAUUCUCCAGGAGCAACUGGAGGAGAGGUCCUGUGAACAGAGGAGAGGGAAUGUGCAUGGUACCUGAUUCACAAGAAACACGGAGAAUGGGCUGAUCUACAUACAUCCUUCCUGUGCACCAAAUGGAAACAUUUGUCCCAUCUCAUCAGAUCCAGGAUCAACACCCCAUCUCAUCAGAUCCAGGUGAAGAGCUCCUGCACAGGGAUAUACAUGCAAGAAGAUCUGCUCUUUAUCCAUAUCUUUUCUGGCUCAUUAUAUUUUAUAAAACCCUGAGAGGCAAUUUAUAUUUAUUUGCCGAUGACUCCAACCAAACAUACUUCAAAGAACGGCAGAAGUUGGGAGAGUGUCAGGUAAAGCCAUUUCAUGCCCACAGCUAGGGGUGGUCCGUGAGGAGCACGCCGAACACCAUCUCCAAGCUGAGGUGGUUCCGACUCUGACUGCACAUACUUUACCAACAGCAGAAGUUAAAAAGUCUGUCAGGUGCAGCCAUUUAUUGCUAACAGCUAAGGGUGAUCCAUGAGAAGUAACAGCUGGUGGUAUUUUAUUCUGAAGCACUUUUCAAUAGCUGAAGUCAUCUCGUACAUUUAUUUUUUAUUUGCUUAAUGGCUGUCUUGCUCCUCCAGAAUGGAAGCUCUAUGAGAAUAGAGAUCUCAUCCUGUUCACCCCUGUAUUUCCAAUUCCUACAAGGGUACCUGGAAUAGAGUAUAUAUUCAACAAGUAGUCAUUUAUUGCACCUCCAUCCCCACACAGUGUCUUAUACUAUGGUGUUGAAGCGGGAGAGCUAGGUACUUGCCUCAUAGAAUUGAAGAAUGAAUCUUGCAAAGUGAAUUGGACAAAGAAGAGUGAGUAAAGUGAUAGAAGUCUAUUAAGUAAGGAUAUAGAAAAAGCUCUCAGGAGUGAGAGGGGUCCCGACAGGGUUGCCACUAAGGGCUUUUAGUAGCAGUCUUUUAUUGAGAAAUGACUCAGAAGCUUGUGACCUUGAGAUCCUUGUGCCAUCUUGGUUUGAGCAAGGACUAUUGAUAAUACUCUUACUGACCUACUUCUCUGUGGUCUGGUCAUUUUCUGUGAUUGCAUUGUAGCUGCCAAAGAAAAAUACUCCCUAACAUCUGGGACCAGGUGGUCUGGUCUAUUCUCUUAUCUCUGGUUUCCUUACAUCUCAGCAUUUUGGGGAUUUCUAUGAGCCUGAUCACAUAGUUCCCUAUCUAUCUCUCCCUACCUAGCCCUGCCUGUCCCUUACUCAGUGUCAUACACAGAGGAGAGAGACAAGAUGGCCAUCUAUUUUAUAGUUAUAUAUAUAUAACUAUAUGUUAUAUAUAUGUUAUGUGUAUAUAUAUAUAUAUAUAUACAACUAUGGUGGCCUCCAAUACAUGGCUGAUAGAAAGUCAGAUUAUUAGACAGUUAUCUAUGUCCUUAAGUGCCACUGAUGCUGUAAAAAUGAUGAUAGGAUAAUUCUACGUGGAGCUUCAGUAGUUCCUCUUUUGAAGACCUUUUCCCCCUUUACAUUUGGAUGUACCUAUGGUGUGUGGCAGAAAGAGCAAUGGCUUAGUUUGAAACAGCAAAUAGGUUUCUCUCAUGUGGACCAAUUUGAAUUGAUAGAUGAAAACUGUCUGGGGGACUAAGGUAAAGGUACUCCAAGAAUAAAUCCAAAUUCACAACGUCUGCUCUGUUCUUU
rnacentral:lncRNA from 12 species